GAUGAACGCUAGCGGCAGGCCUAAUACAUGCAAGUCGAACGGUGUCUUCGGACAUAGUGGCGCACGGGUGCGUAACACGUAUGCAACCUACCUUACAUUGGGGGAUAGCCUUUCGAAAGGGAGAUUAAUACCCCAUAAGACAGUAGCUGGGCAUCCAGCAGGGGUUAAAGAUUUAUCGAUGUAAGCUGGGCAUGCGUCCAAUUAGCUAGUUGGUGAGGUAACGGCUCACCAAGGCAAUGAUUGGUAGGGGAACUGAGAGGUCAAUCCCCCACACUGGCACUGAGAUACGGGCCAGACUCCUACGGGAGGCAGCAGUAGGGAAUAUUGGGCAAUGGACGCAAGUCUGACCCAGCCAUGCCGCGUGCAGGAUGAAGGCGUUAUGCGUUGUAAACUGCUUUUAUACAGGAAGAGACGACUCUUGCGAGAGGCAUUGACGGUACUGUAUGAAUAAGCACCGGCUAACUCCGUGCCAGCAGCCGCGGUAACAC
rnacentral:rRNA from 1 species